UCUUUCAGAAAGAAGAAAGCAUUGUGGCUUGGUUGAUGUACAGAAAGAGCUCUUACUGAAUCCAGUAGCAUUCCCAGUGCUGUUGAAGGUGUAAAUCACUCUAAAGGCUUUGGUGUAUGCAGUCCUGGAUUCAAAUCCUAUCUCUGAAAGCUUGAAGAAGAGAGUUGACAUUUCUGGAGCACACAAAUCAACUCAUUAAAUAAUGGUAUCUAUAAAUAUAACAUAAUCCAUAAUUUAAUGGGCCACAAAAUCCUUUAUAGAAUCAAAUGGUUUUCUAAUUGUCUGAGAAUGUUUACAUAAAAUAGAGCUAUGAAAGAUGAGCCUUCUGGGUGACUGUUAUUUCUUUGUUUGUUUUUCUUUAGACAAAUGAAUAUCUUUUCUGACUUCGAUAGCACACAUACUAGAAUUAGAAAAUACCAAGGAGAUCAUUGUGGCCCCUGGGCAUGGGUGAUCUAUAUCAUCGUUCCCCAACCCCUGGGCCAUGGACCUGUACUGGCUUAUGGCCUGUUGGGAACCGGGUCACACAGCUGGAGGAGGAACAAGCAGAAGUUCCAUAUGCCACCUUCUUCUGCUACUGCAGCAACAAGUGAUAUUCGAGACAGUGAAGCCCCCAUCAAUUCUAGACUGAUAUGGAGCAGAGACGACCUCCUAUACACACUCCCACUACUGACCCAUGGUGGACAAGAAACCAGAAAUUUCAUUAUGUUAAGCUUCUGAGAUAUUUCUGUUUUUUCCACUGAACAUUAUUCUAAUUUAUGUGAUAUAUUUGAUUUUAGAGCUAACUUGUUCUAAAGCUUACAGUCUUUUGCUGGGCAGGGUAGCAGUUCCAGCCACUUAGUAGGCUGAAACAGGAGGAUGGCUUAAGCUCAGGAGUUUGAGACCAGCCUGGGCUAAAUAAUGAGACCCCAUCUCUUAAAAAUAUAUACAAAAUAUAUAAACAAAAAUAAAGCUUACAAUUUUUUUCAACAACAACCUUGUGUAUAGUUCAAACGGAUUUUGUACCCCAUACCUUAGUAACCUACUCAAUGUCAUAUAAGCCUUUCUACCUUUCAGAGUAUCUUCUUGUCAUUCCUUCUUAAAAUGCUCCUCCCAAAUCCUAUUCUGUCUUUUUUUACUACUUUUGAUCUGAACUGUCCAAUAUGUGACUUUGUCCAUAUGUGUCCACAUGCAACUAUUGAGCCCUUGAAAUAUGGCUAGUUCAAAACUGA
rnacentral:lncRNA from 1 species